CAGGGAGCGGCUUUACCUAGCAGCCCUGGUGGGCGUUAGACACCGCGGGCGUGCGCUCACACUCACACACACACUCACACACACAAAGACAUGCGCUCACACUCACACACACGAUUAACAGGACUGAUAUUUCACCACCAACAACUACAACAACAACAACAACUGACACUGUCGGCGGUGAAAUGUCACUCCAGUUAAUCGUGUGUGUGAGUGAGUGGCCGAGAUUGUCGGUGGGGAAAAGGGAACAUAAACAUCGGGUUCAACUUUAACACCAGUGUCUGGAGCCUGGGACCCUGCACCUCCACAUUUAGGACUACUAGGUACACUCUGUUCCCCCCUUUUACACCCUGGGUUGAGCUCUGUCCUGCCCCCUCUUUAUUUACUAUGCAACACAUCCAUCUCCUCCACCGUAUGUGCUGAGUCUCUGCAUCAUGAACUUGUCUUCCCGUUAGGAGAGAGGUUGUAAUCUUAUGGUUUUUCAUUUAGUUAUGAUUAUGCAGUGCCAUUAUUAUUAUUAUUAUUAUUAUUCUUAUUCUUAUAGUUAUUAUCACAUGAACCGAUAGACAGAAAUGUCAACGUCUUUGGAUUCAUUAUGAGGAAACUAUUAAGGAGAUUACAAGAUUGCAAGUUUUAUUGGGGUAAAACCUUGAAGUGUCUGGAGAAAAUAUCAAAUGCAAAGACUACACAGUAUUGGCAAGGUAGAAUAGAUUAAUUUGGAGGUGAGAUUUUUAUAUCCAAUAAGCUUUACUUCUUUACAAUCUCACCCCUGAUUAGCAUUUUGUUAUUAUAUUGUUUUAUUGAAAGAAGCCUUUUUUUGACAACAUCAUUUCAGAUUUUCGUUGACGUUAAUGUCAGUGUGUGCAAAGCAGUCGUAUCCCCGUAUGUCUGACAUAUCUCACCCAUAAGUACAGAGUCAUUCUGUUACACCACUCAACUGAUGCUUUGUAUUUACCUGGUCCAACUUAUUGCCUACAAGAAAAUGACAUGUACCUGUAUGUAUUUACAGCAAGUGUUACAAGUUUAUAAUGUAUUUUUCUAUCUUAUUUUAUAUGUUAUUGAAAACACUGAAAUUACAUUAUUUCCAAAUUUGAACACAAACAAAGAAGAAAACAAAAUAUAUUCACAAAAAAAAUAAAUCCAACUCAAGUGCAAAUGUGAAGGUUCUUUUAAAAGGCAUUUGAUUUGCUUUAUGGUACAGACCUGGGACACUCCACAUGGAGCCUUAUCAUCAUGAAUAUUUUACUGAAAUACUUCCUUUGAAUUUUAAUUUUGUUUCGUUUUUAUUUUUACGUUGCUUGCAUUUUUACGUCUUUUUGUUGUAAAGUGUUCUUAUUAACCGAUAGUAUUAUUUUAAUAAAUAUGACUAUACAAAUGUA